rnacentral:tRNA from 1 species
GGCUCCAUAGUUCAAUGGAUAGAAUAUCAGAUUCCGGUUCUGAAGAUAUGGGUUCGAUUCCCGUUGGGGCUA